UUUAUGUAUUUAUUUGGCAAUAGCAAGGUAAUAUGCAGGACAUUUUAGAGUCAGUCGGUCAGUAACAAAAUAAACCCCUUCAGGGGCUGAACCUGAUCAUCCUGUCAGGGUUUAUUUAAUGAUAAUGACCAACUGACUAUACAUUACCUCUUACAUAUUUCAUUAAAACAAAGUAAUAGUCUUGACAUUCAUGGUUACAUUUGUAAUUUUACAUUUCAUGUCUCUGUAAAGGCGCCAACACUCCCCCAGCAAUAACAAUAGACCGUAAUUCAUCAUAUGAGGGUCUCCAGGAAUAAGAGGAAGAGCGUAAACAUGAAAACUGAGACGACAGGCAGACGAGAACAUACAGAGGUCAGGCCUGUAAUCAUCUGACCCAAUCAAUAAUUAACCAAGGUCACCUUUAAUGACGGCGAAGCAACGUGGCAUAUAUUAUUCAUACAAACCGCUACAUGAAAAGACAGUGGUGGAGAGACUGUGAAAGUGAGACUAAGGUGAUGGAUGGACAGAAAGACAAAGUAAUUGAGAACCAGUAAACCGAUCUUUCUGAAGAGACAUCAUUCAUAUACACUUGCUGGUCAUGUCAAAGAAAUGUUUCUGAGGAAUCUUAACAGAUUUGCUCUGUGAUGCAGCAAACUCCUCUGUAGUACCCAUUCGAUGAAUCACCACAGAGCUGGAACCUGUAAUAUAAAUGCAGUUCACUCAAAUGCCACAAGAGUUUCAAAGAGACAUUCAUCUUAGAGGAAACAAAGUGAGCCAAUCUCCACGGGGAGGUUUGCGGUGAGAGAGGACUGAGGAGUGUAAAUGCCGGCAGUCGAGCGUGGCGGGACCUCUCCUGCUGCAAGGCAAAAGAGAGAAAGUUUGAGGCAAACUGGAGUCUUUGUUCAUAUCCCACGUGGCAGAAGGGGAUUUCCUUGCUUUCCCUCACUCUGACGCACUUUCACUACACUAAACACACAGGAACAGAUACAGAUAAAUGAUGCAAUGUCAAGCAAUCCAGAGGGAUCAAGGCUGCCAGAAAAAAAGGACAAAGUCCUGACUCUGCCGGACACCUUGCUAACCCUGUGAUGAACCCUCAUCAGCAAAAACUUGACUAUGGAUUGCAAAUAUUUUGCAAUAGGUUGUUUGCACAUGAUGUCACUGAUGAUGCACGAAAUGCAGAUGGAGGGCAGGAAGUGAUUUUUCUCCAUGGGAAUCACUAGCAGAAACUCAAAAUGCAUGUGUUUUGCAUUGUUUAUGGAUGCUUAAAUUGGCCAAACCGAGAGACCACAAGGAGCUUUUAUCAUGUACGAAAAUGCGUUGUUCAUAAGUGGGGAAAAGUCAAGAAAUUGAUUGAAAAACACAGGAAAAAGUGACUUGUAAACCUUUAUCUGUGGUCGGGAGGAACGGGACUGAUGUUCUGACGAUUUGUGCUACCCUGCCAGAUUUUGCUACCUCCCAUUAAAACAGAGGGUAGCAUAAUUCGAUAGCGAAAAGUGCUACCUAUCAGAUUUUGCUUCCAGCAUGAUAUUAAUAAGAUGUGAGGCUUUAUUAAAGGGGUCAUAUGAUGCGAUUUCAAGUUUUCCUUUCUCUUUGGAGUGUUACAAGCUGAUUGUGCAUAGAUAAGAUCCCUGAAAUUGCAAAGACUAAAGUCUCAAAACCAGGGAGGUCAGUGUGUUGCUGUGCAUCAUGGAGAUGCUGUGUGUUUCUAGGCGAAAGUAAAUCACUUUAUUUGGCCUUCUGAAAGUAGAUGCAUUUAGGAAUCUUUAAGAUUACUUACAACAGAACAGAAAUGCAGUUUAUGGACGACCGUUUUGUGAACCUAGGAGAGGAGGUAAUUCUGACUAUGCUAUGACAAUCUGGUGCUUCUGAAUCAGCUACUGUCAUAAAGCAUCACAGACAGAGGAAGAGCAUGUGACACAGAGUCUUGUGUGAUUAAGAGUAUAUUCUGAGAAGUGCUUGGCGUAAAUCUGCGCAGUCCAAAAGAAAAGAUCAGGAAGGUUGUUUCACAGCAAGAGCAGAAGAGGAUGUGACAGGGUAAAGAAACAGCUGCCUCGGGUUUACAGAGUUUUGGUGUAUUACUACUGUAUAUGAGUGUAUGUGCAAUGCACUCAAAUGAACUCGCAAAUAAACACACGCAAAACACACAGGUAGCAGACUAGUGGGUCAGGCAAAAAUAAACACUCAUUCCUGUGAGAACAAGGAAUCAGAGCCAGACCAAAAUACUAGCAACCUUCUGGAAACCAAACGCACUGAGCCAAACUACGCUUGGCAUAGCCAACUAGCCUGGAUCCUGCCAAAAGGGUCUGGCUCAUGCCAGCACCAAAGCAGCUCUCACUUAGAGCGAGAAUUGAAUAUGGGGCAGGCAUGGGUGUCAGCAGAGCAGCAAAGAUUGCAUGUCGAAGACGCCCACUGUAGACUCGCCUCAGAGUGUGAAGAAAGCUCUAGAGAGGAGCAGAUGAGUCAGUAUAAGAGAGGUGUUAUUCAGCGCUCUGUUGCUCACUGGGCUUUUUCAUGUGGGAGCAGACGAGAAAUGCCUCUAAUAAAAGAAGAAAUCAGAGUGGAUUCCCCACCGCUGAAGAUAAACAAAGCAUAUAAUUACACAUAUUAUUAAGAAAAACAGUGGUGCUUGCUCAUGUAAAAUUCACUAGAAAGAAAGAAAGAAAGAAAGAAAGAAAAAGAAAGAAAGACGUCCAAUAUAAGUGGCAAACAGCUGAUAUGACAAAAAGGGUAUGGGAUGUUUUGCCUGUUAUCAUAGCCAGAUAAAAAUCAAAUCAUGCCCUUUUAAAAAUUCACCAUUAUGUGGUGGUUACUUUCUGAUAUUAAAAUUGUGGCCAGUAUU
ensembl:lncRNA